rnacentral:lncRNA from 1 species
GCUCACUCUGGUCUGGCCCAGUGACGUUACUCUCAUCAGUCACCCCAAAUGAAACAGCGCUGAAGUCCCUAGAUGGAGUUCUACUGGAGGAAGAAUGGAACUCUGACGACCUGGAAACAUUGACUUGGGCCAGACAGUUCGAACCAGUGCUUCUGGAGACGGCAUUCUACUGAGGCCCUGCCAGUGACCUUGGUCAGGGAUCUGCCCCUUCCUGAUUCCAGCCUAUUCAGUGCAGAGUGAAUGGGUUGGACCAGUCAUCUGGAAGGUCCAGGGUGACCUUGGGUGGGAGUUCAAGAGGACCCUGCAGCACCUCCUCCCCUUUGUCUGGGCUGGUGUGUGGUGAGGUGCUGGCUGUCCCUGAGCUCCAGGCUGUGGUGGGGGCUGCCGUGCCCUGGGAUGAAUGGAUUCACGGAUCUCGAGGAAGCUGAUGCCCCUCUUUGGAGGCACAGGAGAGUGAGUGGAGCGAGAUUUAUAGCAAGGUCUUCCUCAGGAGGAAUGAAACACGACCUGGAGAGCCCGCCUGCUGGCAAUAAGGCAGCUGAGGUGCCUGCGUGGUCAAUGUCCGCAAGGUCAUGGUCAUUUGGUGACCUUCGCGGUGCUCAGUCCCUUCCUUCUCCGGAAUCAGCUCUGAGCCUCCUGGACGCACGCCUGUCUUUCUUCCAUCUCAUUCAUCACAGGAACAACCACAGUCGUCACCUGCAAGCACUGAAUGUUGACCACAGACUGCUAAUCCAUCCAAAAUGUUCUCUGUCACCACUAUCCUGCAAGUUAUCUUCCCACUGUUGCUGGUUUUCCUUUGAGCACCUGCUCCCACGGACCUGGAGGUUUCAGAGCUGGGACCUGUGUUUUGUGACUGGAUGUCCGUGUGCCCAGGCUCAGCAGCCAGGCAGGGCAGUCUGAGAUCAUAAAAAAAUAAAAAGUAUCGGAUUGUUUUUAAUAAAGGCAGUUUGGGUCCUUACUGGUGCAUUUGGUUCACCAAAUGCUAACAGUGGUUAUUUUUAGAUAGUGGAUUUUAG